AGAGGACGGAGCAGCUUGCAUGGGAAGCGAGUGUUGUGUCCAUCUUUCUAUCCCUGGACACCGACAGAGCUAUUGUCAGUGCCAGCUUGUGUCCAAGGCAGAGACUCUCAUAUGCACGGCACACAGUCUCUGCCUCAGAGAAGACUGUCUACAUAGGCAGACAGAACCGGAAAAAAAAAAAAAAAAA